CUUGCUCCUGCGAGGCCACAUCCAUUAAAACCCAGCCCCAUCAGCACCUCCCUGGGCUUUGCCCCCAGCUGCAGUGCAGCAGAAGCACCUGGGGGAAAUUUAGGGCUGAGGAAGGGCAGGACCCCCCUCUUCCCCCUCUCUGUAUCGUGGUGUGGCAGGGAGGUUUUUCCCAGUGCUAAAGGGCCAGUUGGGAUGUGCUGGGUGCCUCGGUGGCCUGGAGGUGGCUUCUGUCCCUGCUCAUGGUGGCAACAUGUCCCUCCCUGCCAGUACCAUGUGGGAGCCUGAGAAGAAGAAGAAAAAAAAAAAAAGGGAACGCUCUUUAUGCGCGUGUAGCCCUGCUCCUCGUUACAUUUCCUGCUAGAGAGCUACCCAGGCCAGGCAAAAAAAAAUGAAACCAGCUACAUUUGAGCGUCCUAUUUCGAGCCCUUAUAAACUGCGAUGUGUAAAUACUUGUGUGUGCAAACCCACACGCAAUCCUGCGUGAAGCUCUUGGAGCAGCAGCCCCAGCCUCUCCCCACGUGCCCGUCUUUGGGAAGGCGCCAGCUGCUGCCGCCGGCGGCUCUUUGUUGCAGGAGCCAACCUUUUAUUUAUUUAUUUAUUUAUUUAACCUGUCAUGGGCUGGCACAGUGCUGGAGCUCCUCCAAAGCCUGGCCCUCCCACCCCUGUGUUUUGGGGAAAAACAAAACAAAAAAUUUUGGCUGCCUACGAGCCGGUUAUUAUUAUUAUUAGUUUUCCUGCAACCAGGGAUUUGAGGCGUCCCGCGGCUUCUCUUUGGAUGCUGAGUUUGUCUCCGUUUCCUCAGCCGCAAGGCUCGGUCGAAGGGCGAGGAAAGGACCCCUUGCUAUGGCAAUAGAAACCUGAGACCAUGGCGAUAUUGUCCUGAAGAAAAGCGAUUUGCAUCUGGCACGGUGCAUCCCGGGUGGCUCAGCCAGGCUCACCCGGGCAGGUUUUUGAGGAGGAGUUGGCAGAACCCAGCACGGGCGCUCGCUUCGAGUCGCUUCACCAAAAGAAGGGACCGAGGGAAACCACAUCACGGUAACCAACACUUGAGUUCAUCCCAAAGCAUCCCUGGGGAUGGCUCGGUCUGGAAGGAGCUGGCACCCCCAGCUGGGGGCUUGCAAGCCAGAGUCAAAUUUGGGGUGUUUUCCUUGGAUUUCAGUGCUCUUGGUGCACAGCUGCUUCGCGCCAGGGCAGGAGGUGCUCGACAUCCCAGCCUGAUCCAAACGCAGCCCGGGCAUUUUUAUCUUCCAAAACCCAGGGAGCAAAGUUUCCAAAAGCUUUUAUGGGAUCGGGUGUUGAGUUUCCACCAAUGUUGGCUCCAGGCCCCCUCGCGGGAUCCCAGAAUGGGUGAAUUGGGCAGGGACCUCUGGGCCCAUCUCUCCAAGCCCUGCUCCAGCAGGACCACCCGGAGCAGGGCACCCAGGACCGUGUCCAGGCGGCUUUUGGAGCUCUCCAAGGAUGGAGCCCAGUUCCAGUGCUCCGUCACCCCCACAGUCCAGCAUUACCUCCUGAUCUUCAGGCAGAAACAGGCUGCAGGGCACCGAGCUCUCCACCAGGACCAGCCAAACCCCUCGGUGUCCCCAAGCUCCUCGCGGACCCGCUGCGGUGGUUUUUGGAGCGAGCACGCGCGCGUUUCCCCACUUCUCCAUCAAGUCUUUAAGGCCAGAGGCGAGGUGGGAACGAGGAAGGGGCUGCAAGAAGAGGAAAGCUCAGCCUGCAGGUGGGAAGCCAGGAGCGAGCAGCCCGGGGUGGCCGAGCAGAGGGGUUGGGGCGGGCACCAUCACCCCAUCACACGUAGAAACAUCGAGCAUUAGUAAAACAAGGCGGAAUUAUUUACAA